rnacentral:rRNA from 1 species
AUUGAACGCUGGCGGCAGGCCUAACACAUGCAAGUCGAACGGUAACAGGAAGAAGCUUGCUUCUUUGCUGACGAGUGGCGGACGGGUGAGUAAUGUCUGGGAAACUUCCUGAUGGAGGGGGAUAACUACUGGAAACGGUAGCUAAUACCGCAUAACGUCGCAAGACCAAAGAGGGGGACCUUCGGGCCUCUUGCCAUCUGAUGUGCCCAGAUGGGAUUAGCUAGUAGGUGGGGUAACGGCUCACCUAGGCGACGAUCCCUAGCUGGUCUGAGAGGAUGACCAGCCACACUGGAACUGAGACACGGUCCAGACUCCUACGGGAGGCAGCAGUGGGGAAUAUUGCACAAUGGGCGCAAGCCUGAUGCAGCCAUGCCGCGUGUAUGAAGAAGGCCUUCGGGUUGUAAAGUACUUUCAGCGGGGAGGAAGGGAGUAAAGUUAAUACCUUUGCUCAUUGACGUUACCCGCAGAAGAAGCACCGGCUAACUCCGUG